rnacentral:lncRNA from 1 species
UUUUUUUUAAUGAGUUCCUGAACUGCCCAGAAAACCCUCACAUAGGUUGAUUCAUGGAUCCACAAAGAACUAAGGACACUUUGGUUCCAUGUUUAACAAUGAUGAUGAGGAUGUUCAAGAGCUUAACAAUAAUAGUUGUGACUGAACCCAAAAUGACUUCCUCAUUUCCACAACAAAUGAAAGUAUUUCAAGUUUGUGAAAACAUUUGUUGUCUCUGAAAAUUUGGAUAAAGAUUCUUGAACGUAAUAACAUAUACAGAUCUGAAUUUUAAUGUGAUGUACUAUUGAGUCAGGUUUUUAAAGCUGAUCUUUAAAAAUACAUGAUGUUCCAUUAAUUUAAUAAUUACAAUUUCUAUGUACUAAAUUCUUACUGGGACCUACAAGCUGUUUUUAAAGAAUAAUAUCAAUAUGUAUAAAUCUCAUUAUCAUCUUAUGAAAUCUCUGGAAUGUUAAAAAAGAAGGAUGUAUAAACAUACCUAUUCUACCGAACAAACCUCAAUGA